rnacentral:rRNA from 1 species
UACAGAGGGGGCAAACGUUGCUCGGAGUUACUGGGCGUAAAGCGUGCGCAGGCGGUGAUGUAAGUCAGAUGUGAAAUCCCCGGGCUCAACCUGGGAACUGCAUUUGUGACUGCAUCGCUGGAGUGCGGCAGAGGGGGAUGGAAUUCCGCGUGUAGCAGUGAAAUGCGUAGAUAUGCGGAGGAACACCGAUGGCGAAGGCAAUCCCCUGGGCCUGCACUGACGCUCAUGCACGAAAGCGUGGGGAGCAAACAGG